AGAGCUCGUAGCUUCACCUUCUCAAGAAAGACACUUUGAAGAUCCCUGGCUGCCCUAAUUACCAUAAUAAACUGACAAUGAAGGUGAACAAGUGGGUGCCGGGGCACGCAAAACACCGCAAGUGAAGGGCCCUUUAUAGGAACAUUACUUCCAUGACUAGGCCAGGUCACUGCACCUGUCAACUUUUACGGACGUGGAAGGCUGCGGUGGGAGAGCCGCACCGAGUCACAGGACGAAGCAGCACAACCAUCGGGCUAACAAGUGGAAGUCUGGCGUGGGGUGCGCUCUGCGGGCCCUCCGUGAGGCGAGGGAGCCAGGGCCAGGAAACUGACCCCAUCACCCCACGCACAGCUCUGGGACCCGCAAACGGGGCAGCUCCCACGCCGCAGGACGCCUGGAGCCGAGGCCUGUGCGCGCAAGGCCCGCGCGCGGCCCCGCUAGCCUGGGCUUCCCGGAGCUGCGGACGCUGGCGACCAGAGCCACCGGCUUGGUGGACCGGGGGACGCAGGGGCCCAGCCGGCUCCUCUGCACCGCCGCACCGAAGCCUCCGCUCCUCCCGCCAAAGAGCUCGACGACCAGGCCGCCACUUACUAGCCAUGGCUCUUCCGCGGAGCAUCGAGAGGCAAAACGAACUCUGUCUCUCAAAGCCCUGGGCGGAGCACGGGAGGCGGGGCCGACCCGCGCGCAGGAGGGGCGUGGUCAAGAGUUCGGCCGAGGGGCCGGGCCUCGAGUUCUGCUGAGAUGUCACCUCUGAUGACAGUUUCCUUGACUCAUCAAGGGAGCAGAAAUGACCCCCUGUGUAUCCAUAAACUUACCUCAACAGAUAAUCAAAAUGGGAAAAUGAUGCUUGAUGUCUGGCUUGUUGAUCCAGGUCUGGAUGUUUACAACUUCCUUCCUGUCAUCAUCUGACAUGGACGAGCUGUCGAUUUCAUCUACAAGGGAAGGAACUCAGACAUGAUUCUUAGCAACCGG